UACAGAGGAUCCGAGCGUUAUCCGGAUUUAUUGGGUUUAAAGGGUGCGCAGGCGGGAGAUUAAGUCGGCGGUGAAAUUUUGCAGCUCAACUGUAAAAGUGCCUUCGAAACUGGUUUCCUUGAGUGUAGAUGAAGUAGGCGGAAUUUGUGGUGUAGCGGUGAAAUGCAUAGAUAUCACGAGGAACUCCGAUUGCGCAGGCAGCUUACUAAACUACUACUGACGCUCAGGCACGAAGGCGUGGGGAUCAAACAGGAUUAGAUACCCCCGUA
rnacentral:rRNA from 1 species